UGUAGAGUAACUGAAUGAGAAUGAGGCACCACACAAUGGAUUAUGUGGCUGCACAAUGGAAGACAUCAGCAUUGUGGGGGAGAGGAUUCCACACUGUGUAUACUGGGGCUCGGUAUAGUGGUGACAGUGAUGGACCUCUGCCAGGUGUGACAGGCCUAUCACAGCCAGCGCUGCAGCCUCCACUAUCCCAGAUAGAGGCUAGAGUUUAACUGAAUGGGGAUUGCUUCACAUGCCAGGAUAUGAGGAAUGCAGUAUGUACAAGAUACCAGCAAGGCUGAUUCACUCAUUGCGUAUCACUUGUAGUAAGGAUUACAAAAGACCCAAAAGUUAGUGAGAAUAUACUCGGAACCCAGAAAAGCCUGAAGAGAAAAGCCACGCAAUCACUGACCACAUCCUGGUACAUGAAUUAGGACAUGAAAUGAAUUCAUUCCCCAAA